UACGAAGGGUGCAAACGUUAUUCGGAUUAAUUGGGCGUAAAGGGUACGCAGGCGGUUUGUUAAGUCAGCUGUUAAAUCUCCCGACCUAACCGGGAAUCAGCAGCAGAUACUGGCAAACUAGAGGAUGGAAGAGAGAAGUGGAAUUCUUGGAGUAGAGGUAAAAUUCGUAGAUCUCAAGAGGAACACCGAUGGCGAAGGCAGCUUCUUGGUCCAUAUAUGACGUUCAGGUACGAAAGCGUGGGGAGCAAACAGG
rnacentral:rRNA from 1 species